CUCUGGGCUUUGUGGUUUUCAGAACCCUAACCCUAGGCAUAAACCUAACCCUAGGCAGAGCAGUAAAAGCAACAUUCAGGCCCCAGGUUUCUGAGAUGCUUCAGUGGCCUACUGAGAAAUCUCUUUAGGACAGAUUCCGGCUGAGCUGUCAGAUUGACUGCUAGAGGCACAGCCGAGUUUCAAAUGGACGAGUAGUGUGCAUGCAAGACACAUCCCAGAAAAAGAAGAUGUUUGACAAGUGAAGUGUUUUUAUUUUAUGAUGGAGAACGAGCAGGAACAUCAGACAGCUGGGAGGAAGAGCACAGGAAGAAGCAUGGGCUUGAAAAUGGACAUAGAAGUGGAGAAGGGGUCUGAGGGCGGAGCAAGGAAGAGGAACAGGGGAGAAGCUGCCACUGUCACCCCGUAUCA